rnacentral:lncRNA from 1 species
GUGUGAAUAUUUAUUGUUUCUCUUGUCAGGGCUGAAGGAGGACGACGGCAUGGUUACAUGGGACACCUUACGAGGAUAGCUAACUGUAUUGUGCACAGCACUGACAAGGGUCCGAACAGUGCGUUAGUACAGCAGCUCAUCAAAGGUAAGUUAGUUAACAACCUAAUUACAUGUGUGUAGGACCAGAGAACAGGUCAGGGGUUAAAGUGUUGGGAACAGGUUGCAAGCUAUAGAUGGGGUUUGUUUUCAUUUUAGAGACAUUUUUUUGUUUGGAAAUCUCAUUGUAGCUCUUGAGACUAUGUUUGAACCAUGUGGUCCUCAGCUGUACUUCUGCUUAGAUUUUUGCUGUUCAUUUGAAAUCAAGUGGCAUGCUAGAGUCACUUUCUGUUACAGAACACUGUUGAUGGUAUGCUUUUUGUUCUGUUUUUAUUUUUAAAGAUUUCUGUGUUCACCAGACAUAGCAGUGCAUGCCUUUAAUCCCAGCCCUUGGAAGGCAGAGGUAGACAGAUCUCUGUGAGUUUGAGGCCAGCCUGGUCUAUGUAGUGAGUUCUCAAACAGCCAGAGCUACAUAGUGAGACCCUGUCUUGGGGUGGUGGGGGUGGUGUCUUUAUUUAUUUUAUGUAUAUAGGUAGGUGUAUUACUAGUGUGUGUGUCUAUACACCAUGUACAUUCAGGUCCCAUGGAGGUCAGAAAAGGAUGUUAGGUCCCUCUGGAACUGGACUUAAUAGAUGGUUGCAUGUUGCUAUAUAGGUGCUGGGGAUCAAACCCCGGUCCUCUAGAAUAAUAGCCAGUGCUCUUAAUCCCUAAGCCAUCUCUCUACCCCCUCACCUGAUUCUGUGUUCUGUGUUUCAGUGGAGCCAUAGCUUUAUGGUAGUUCUUGCUUUUUCUUCUGAAGCCUCCUUCCUUUUUAAAAAUGAAUAUUUGUGUUUUUCUAUAUGCAUGUAUGUAUACCAUGUGUACUUAGUCAGAAGAGAGCAUUGGAUCCCCUGCAACUUUUUUAUGGAUAGUUGUGAGCCACCAUAUGGGUGCUGGGAACAGAACCCCGGUCUCCUGGAAAAGUACCAAAUGCUCUUAAGCACUGACCCAUCUCUCUAGCAGCUGGAGUCUGCCUGUCCUCCCUCCUGUGGAUCACACUCCUUAUCCGAGACAUUAACACAUUGUCAAUGUUACUAAAAUGAAAGACUUGAUCCUAAAGGAUUCUUUUUCUACUAGCAUUUAAAUUUAAUCAGCCCAGGGUGACUUGGCCUUCUACACAAGCCUUAGACCACAAGUCCAUUUUGUCAGAAUGAGAAUACCAAAUGCUCUGACCUGCAGGAUCUGACCCAGUGGGACUAACUAGUUCUGAGACAUCUUUGAAUGUAAGAAACUAAUAAUCUUUGUUCAAGGAUUGGUGCUCUGUCGAGUGCGCUGAAAGCCUAAUUCUCACCCAGUGACUGAAUAACUGAGGCUGGUCCAUCUGUAAUUUUGCUUCUUGAGAAAUACAAGCCUCUUCUUGAAGCCACUCCUCGUGGUUCGUAUCCUUAUCAAGGAGAGAGGGCCAUGUAUGGUUAGGCUUGCUCCUUCGUGGAAGUUCCUGUGUGAGUUUGUACCUGUGUAUGGAUGCUUAAACCACAGUUGUCAGAUGACCUCUCUGUAUGUAGAUAGGCUUCUGAGGUUUAUAGGUAGGGAGGGUUUCAUUUCUGAGAAAAACCAUUAAAGUUUCUCUAGAAAGUUGAAUUUUGCUGUAGAACAUUUCUUCAUGUUUUAUUUAUGAGGCAACUAUGUAGGAGACAUACAAGUUCAAUCAAAGCAGUCAACUGGGUUCUGUGGACCAUUCAUCGGUCCAGUGUCUGGUAUAGGAUCCCAGAAAAGUACAGAAGCUAGUAUUUGUAAGGUUUCUUAAACUUGUCCACACAGACCUCUUUCUGCAGAGUGGAGACAAAAAGUCCAUGUUUCCUUUCAGCAGAGCAGUUGUUAGUAAUUGCUACAUUGUGACUCUUGGCCAGAUCAAGCCAACAGUGUUGGUGGGGUGGGGCUGUUGGUUGGGGCUCAAAAGUCUGUUGACUGGGCCUUUUUGGACUCGUUCUCUUGGACCACUGGGCAGGCCAUAGCCAAGACUCCAUUCAGCUCAUUGGAGUCCCCCAAGUACUAUUCCUGUAGCUACUCUGAGACUGUGCACCCUUCCCCCACUGUGUUUAAUCCUUUUUUCCUUUUUCACUCUAAAGAUCUUCCCGAUGAAGUCAGGGAGCGGUGGGAGACGUUCUGCACGAACUCCUUAGGAGAGACGAACAAGAGGAACACGGUAGAUCUAGUAGGUUUCACAGGUUCCAUUUCUGGGGUUUUUGGUGCUCUCGGCCAUUGCCUAUUGACUUGAAAAAGGUUAAAGACUAUCCAUUAGGCCCAGUGAAUAUGGGCUGAAGAAAAGCUUGUGACUCUUUGCAGGAAGAGGAUAGUAUUCACAGCAUUCUUGAUUUGUUCAUUCACCUGCUUGUGACCUACCUUACAUGGCGAAAAGGUACUAAAAAGCCACCCAUGUCCACUGCAGUCCACAUCAGUGCCGUGUCUGCCUGGGUCCUGCUCCCUUUGCACCUCUGCCUUCCUCUUGUUCUGUGGCUUUGUGCUUUGGGCUUCAUGUCACUCUGAGUUCUUACAACCCCAAAUAUUCCCAUGGAUGUUUCUAGUAUUAUAGAGUUCAGCUUAUUCACAUUUUAGAACACUUUUUGGAGAAGAGAGUUAUAGAUGACUCUGAAACUUGCAGCUUUAGAAUGUUGAAUUGAAUUGAUACUUUCAGCUAGGGAAUAAUGGCAUUGAUAAUUUUUCAAAAUUGGACUUUGGAAUGUGUUUUUGUUUUCAAACACAUUAAAUUUUAAGAUGAGUAUUGCUUUAUUUUAGCUUUCACAUUUGAGAAUGCAUCUUUGUUAGCAUUGGUUGCUGGUGAUUAGGAUGAGGGCCCAACUCAGAUGUGCUGUUCAGCACAAGUCACUGUGGUUUCUUUUAAGAACACCUCAGUCAUUACUAAAUUAUGUAGCAAAUAAGAGCUGCAAAGUCAGUAGGUUAUCUAUGUCACACUGCACAGGCCCUUGUCUCCCAAUUGACUUGAGUAGUAGAAUAAUGGCUUUCUAAAGGUGGUUUUGAUACAUGAUUAGGAAGUACGGC